CAAGUCGAGCGAUGAAGUUUCUUCGGAAAUGGAUUAGCGGCGAACGGGUGAGGAACACGUGAAGAAUCUGCCCUCCACUUUGGGAUAACACCGGGAAACCGGUGCUAAUACCGAAUAUUGAAACAUAAGUGGCAUCACUGAGUUUUGAAAGAAUUUCGGUGGAGGAUGACUUCGCGGCCUAUCAGCUAGUUGGUGAGGUAAUGGCUCACCAAGGCAACGACGGGUAGCCGGCCUGAGAGGGCGACCGGCCACACUGGGACUGAGACACGGCCCAGACUCCUACGGGAGGCAGCAGUGGGGAAUAUUGGGCAAUGGAGGAAACUCUGACCCAGCGACGCCGCGUGCGGGAUGAAGGCCUUCGGGUUGUAAACCGCUUUCAGUAGGGAAGAAGCGAAAGUGACGGUACCUACAAAAGAAGCACCGGCUAACUAUGUGCCAGCAGCCGCGGUAAUACAUAGGGUGCAAGCGUUGUCCGGAAUUAUUGGGCGUAAAGAGCUCGUAGGUCGUUUGUUACGUCGGAUGUGAAAACCUGAGGCUCAACCUCAGGCCUGCAUUCGAUACGGGCAAACUAGAGUUUGGUAGGGGAGACUGGAAUUCCUGGUGUAGCGGUGGAAUGCGCAGAUAUCAGGAGGAACACCAAUGGCGAAGGCAGGUCUCUGGGCCAAUACUGACACUGAGGAGCGAAAGUCUGGGGAGCGAACAGGAUUAGAUACCCUGGUAGUCCAGACCGUAAACGGUGGGCACUAGUUGUGGGAACCUUCCACGGUUUCUGCGACGCAGCUAACGCAUUAAGUGCCCCGCCUGGGGAGUACGAUCGCAAGAUUAAAACUCAAAGGAAUUGACGG
rnacentral:rRNA from 1 species